rnacentral:rRNA from 1 species
AAUCAACGCUGGCGGCGUGCCUCAGACAUGCAAGUCGAACGAUUAAACUUUCCUUCGGGAAAGAUAUAAAGUGGCGCACGGGUGAGUAACACGUAGGUAAUGUACCUUUGGGUGGGGAAUAACCAUCGGAAACGAUGGCUAAUACCGCAUAAUGCAGCGGCAUCGCAAGAUGACAGUUGUUAAAGAUUUAUCGCCUAAAGAGCAGCCUGCGGCAGAUUAGGUAGNGGUAAGGUAAUGGCUUACCAAGCCUGCGAUCUGUAACCGACCUGAGAGGGUGGUCGGUCACACUGACACUGAAUAACGGGUCAGACUCCUACGGGAGCAGCAGUCGGGAAUUUGGGCAAUGGGCGAAAGCCUGACCCAGCAACGCCGCGUGAAGGACGAAGUCUUUC